UGGGUUGAACUACGCAGGAAAAGCCGUAGAGAUGCGGUGUCCGUAAGGGCCUGCGAUAGGUGGUGCAUGGCUGUCGUCAGCUCGUGUCGUGAGAUGUUGGGUUAAGUCCCGCAACGAGCGCAACCCUUGUCCUAUGUUGCCAGCGGGUAAUGCCGGGGACUCGUAGGAGACUGCCGGGGUCAACUCGGAGGAAGGUGGGGAUGACGUGUCGUUACCUUA
rnacentral:misc_RNA from 1 species